CUAGGGGCCCCAGUAGCAGCCGUGGGCUCCGCGGGGGUGGUCGGGGAGUAGUACCCAGGGCCCUUGGCGCCUUACUGCACCGAGCCCAGCCCAGCGCCCCGCGGGGUCCCUGCCGGGCCCGGCCAGGAGGGGGCGCCACUCACCCAGGUGCGCCACGCGGCUGAGGCGCGGGUCAAAGCCGACCUCGCGCACCUUGUCAGUGCGCGCCAGGAAGAAGUUGACCACGCCGUCGGUGACCACGCACCCUGGGAAGCCGACGAGCUCGUGGUGGAAGCCGCGCUUCUGCCGGAGGCAGUUCCCGCGGCCUGGCGCGCCGGGCUCCACGCUCAGCAGCUGCCGGUCCAGCGGCGUCCGCUCCAGCACGUCCACAAGCCUCUCCAGUCGUGUCCGCGCCGUGAAGACGAAGUCGUCGUCCACCCACAGCACGUACUUGGUGGUUACUUGGGAUACGGCCAGGUUCCGGCCUGCGAACCAGCCCUGGGGAAGGGGCUGGAUCUAUGUCCCUGAGCACACCAGUCUCACCUCCCAGGGAUGGAGACCCAG